rnacentral:rRNA from 1 species
GGAUGAACGCUGGCGGUCUGCUUAACACAUGCAAGUCGAACGGGCUCUUCGGAGCUAGUGGCGGACGGGUGAGUAACGCGUGAGGAUCUGCCCUUAGGACGGGGACAACAGUUGGAAACGACUGCUAAUACCCGAUGUGCCGAGAGGUGAAACUAUUUGGCCUGAGGAUGAGCUCGCGUCUGAUUAGCUAGUUGGAGUGGUAACGGCACACCAAGGCGACGAUCAGUAGCUGGUCUGAGAGGAUGAUCAGCCACACUGGGACUGAGACACGGCCCAGACUCCUACGGGAGGCAGCAGUGGGGAAUUUUCCGCAAUGGGCGAAAGCCUGACGGAGCAAGACCGCGUGCGGGAGGAAGGUCUAUUGACUGUAAACCGCUUUUGAUAGGGAAGAAGAUCUGACGGUACCUAUCGAAUCAGCAUCGGCUAACUCCGUGCCAGCAGCCGCGGUAAUACGGGGGAUGCAAGCGUUAUCCGGAAUUAUUGGGCGUAAAGCGUCCGUAGGUGGUUUUAUAAGUCUGUUGUCAAAUCGCGAGGCUUAACCUCGUACAGGCAGUGGAAACUAUAAGACUAGAGUGCGGUAGGGGUAGAGGGAAUUUCCAGUGUAGCGGUGAAAUGCGUAGAUAUUGGAAAGAACACCGGUGGCGAAGGCGCUCUACUGGGCCUGCACUGACACUGAGGGACGAAAGCUAGGGGAGCGAA